UCAGUUCGGACUGCAGGCUGCAACCCGCCUGCACGAAGCCGGAAUUGCUAGUAAUCGCGGAUCAGCAUGCCGCGGUGAAUACGUUCCCGGGGCUUGUACACACCGCCCCGUCACACCAUGAGAGCCGGGGGGACCCGAAGUCAGUGACCCAACCGUAAGGAGGGAGCUGCCGAAGGUGGAGCCGGUAACUGGGGUGAAGUCGUAACAAGGUACC
rnacentral:rRNA from 1 species